rnacentral:lncRNA from 1 species
AGAAAGUCCAUCCUGACUUACACCUGGAAGGGGAGCACCCUUGGCCCUGGGAGAUGCAGUUGAUCGUGAACACUCAUUUUCUGUGAGAAAGUGCACCCCCUGCUCCGAUCAGCUGAUCUACAACCCUUCUGCGCAUUGGUGCUUCGGGGCCCCCGGAUUUGCUUGGUUGGGUGAGAGGCAGCCUGCGUGAUAGAAGGAACACGGGACUGAGCAGCCGCAAAGCCUAGGUUCCAGUCCAGGCUCUGCUACUGCCUGGGUCCCUUCUCCAGCCUGGGCCUGUUUCCCAAUCUGCAAAAUAGGAGGUCAGCGCGGCUGGCAGUCAGGUGCCUGUGGUCUCAGACCUCUUCUCCCUAGGUGUGUGUGGACCGGUUACCCGCGGACCCCACCAGGACCAGGAAUGCCUUCCACCUCCUGUCCUGGAGGCAGGCCUUCCCCGCAGCCCCAUUUGUCUUUUAACGCUGUGGUGAAUAGAAGCGAAUGUCAGCCACAGCUGCCAGCCAGCCAGCUGGUGCAUCUGAUGGGGGAAAGCCCUCCCAACCAGCCUCACCAUCCAUCUGUGCCCCUAGCGGGUCCAGAGACAGGUGUUCUCCUCCGCGUGCCUAGAGGGAGAAGGAGCUGCCCCAGAUGA